rnacentral:rRNA from 1 species
GACGAACCGUGCGAACGUUAUUCGGAAUCACUGGGCUUAAAGCGCGUGUAGGCGGGCCGGCACGUCGAGCGUUGAAAUCCCCCGGCUCAACCGGGGAAGGGGCCUCGAUACGACCGGCCUGGAGGGGGGUAGGGGGAUCGGGAACUUCCGGUGGAGCGGUGAAAUGCGUUGAGAUCGGAAGGAACGCCCGCGGCGAAAGCGCGGUCCUGGACCCCACCUGACGCUGAGACGCGAAAGCCAGGGGAGCGAACGGG